GCUGGCGUAGCUCAGUUGGCAGAGCAUCUGAUUUGUAAUCAGAGGGUCAGGGGUUCAAAUCCCUUCGCCAGCU
rnacentral:tRNA from 1 species